AAUUGAGGUUCCAGAUGGCUCUGGCUGUAAUCCUUUCAUGUAAUAUUUUGAACCGCGUGAGAGGUUGAUUUUUCUUCUCCGUUCCAUCGGAAUCGACUCGAUAGAGCACUCUACGAAACCACGCCUCACAAACCAGUCCGAUGUACGAGUUGUAAGCAAAAACAGUUUCUCUAACCCCAAGGAUGAUGCCUUCUUCUCUACAUAAUCUAGCAAUUUGUCACCUUG
rnacentral:misc_RNA from 1 species